rnacentral:lncRNA from 1 species
GUUACCUGACUUUCGGCUUCAGGAUCCGCAGCGUGCACCCGCGUUCCGUGAGUGCCCUAUAGGCAGUCAGCAUGCCCCUCUGCGUGUCCCUGUGUUACGGGGACGCCGGCUGGGAGCCGCAGAGCUAUCUCAGAACUAGGGCGCUCUCCUUUGGGCACCUCCAGGCCAUUUUCCUUUCAUUCGAGCCCACAGGGUUAGAGAUAAACCCUCACUCCGUUGCUUGGGGACAAGGGCUUCACUCCCUGUCCCGAGCUUGCGGCUGAGCUUGAGGGUGGCUGGGUCAUCCUGGCCCCCCACUGGAUGGGAAUUGGCUGCUCUGGUGAUUUCUGUGACAUCCCAGACCCCAACUGUGGGGCUCUGGAGCGGACUGCGCUUCACUUCGUGGGGAGGGUGUUUCCACCUAGGCCACUCUUAUUUCUCUUCACAUCCCCAGAUCUGUCUUCUGAGACUUUGCCCUUCUCCAGGAAGAGCACUCAGGAGACCAGGAAAAUGGCCACAGGGCUCCUGAGAGCCAAAAAAGAGGUGAGAAUUAACUGUAAUUCUAUCUUGGCUGUCAACAGAAUGGGUCCCAUUACCUUUUCUUGUCCUGGAGGCUGCCUUGUUGGUAUUGGGCAAAGUCAUUCCUAGCCCUAGUCAUUCCUAGUCCAUAGAACAAGGAGGAUUUUGAUAUAGUCUUGUAGAGCGUCCGAUUCUGUCGCUGUUCAGGGCGCCACUUGUAACCUGCACGGACCUGGUGGACUGAACAAAAGGAAUAAAAGACAAGAAACAAAAAAGUAUAUUUGGAAGAAGGGGUCGGGGGCACUUUGUCUCUAGUGGACAAGGGCCCUGAGCUUUACACAACCCUCCCGUAUUUAUUGGUAAAACAGAUAACAAGUUAGGGGGUGGUGAUUGUCAGGUAAUUGUCAGUUGGCCGUUUGGUUCGCAAUUGCAAGACUGCAUCCUUCCAACAAUAGGCGCUAGAUUUCCUGGUAGAUCACUUCAAGGAGCCAGGCGCCAGGCAGUGAUGGCUCUCAGCACAUCUUUUGGUGGCAGUGUGCGUUUGCUCACAUCCUGCAUUCAUGAUAAACAGUUUACCGUUUAAUCAUAUAACCUCCAGUGGAAUGCUGAGUUGGUCACAAUCCCUUUGGUCUUUUCGGCUCCAAACAUAGUCUGACCUGAAUUUUACCUUUGAGUUCAUUCCUAGUCCUGGAAGAGUGCCUCGUUCUAACAGGAGUCUUCCCUCAGCAUUCCUUUCUGCUCCAUCCUUACCGCAGUCACUCAUGAAGUAGUUAAUUGUGAACAACACAUAUGGAGCAGUUUAAAUAAAAGUAAAGAGACAUACAUGCGUAAUUGUUCAGUGAUGUGGAUGAAGGGCAGGGACAGCACAGAUGCCUGUGAUUUCAAAUGGUUAGGGAGGCCUCCUAGAAGUAGGGCUGUCUCAAUUGCCCCUGACUGGUUUGUUAAGUUGGAGAUUGGGGGGAAGGCAUUCCAGUGGGAGGCGGCAAGGAAGCAUAGAUAGUUUCAGAGGCUGGACUCUCAGUGUGGAAGGAUUAUGGUGGCCAGUGGACUUGCUUAAGAUUGAAUUUUUUUUUUUUUUUUUUUUGAGACCGAGUCUCACUCUGUCAUCCAGGCUGGAGUGCAGUGGCGCCAUCUCGGCUCGCUGCAGACUCUGCCUCCCAGGUUCACACCAUUCUUCUGCCUCAGCCUCCUGAGUAGCUGGGACUACAGGCGCUUGCCACCAUGCCAGGCUAAUUUUUUGUAUUUUUAGUAGAGACGGGGUUUCACCGUGUCAGCCAGGAUGGUCUCGAUCUCCUGACCUCAUGAUCCACCCACCUCGGCCUCCCAAAGUGCUGGGAUUACAAGUGAGAUUACACCACACCCGGCUACCUAUGCAUAUUUAAAAAUCAACCUUGGCCAGGCGUGGUGGCUCAGGCCUGUAAUCCCAGCACUGUGGGAGGCUGAGGCAGGCGAAUCACGAGGUCAGGAGAUGGAGACCAUCCUGGCUGACACGGUGAAACCCUGUCUCUACUAAAAAUACAAGAAAUUAGCUGGGCAUGGUGGCAAGCGCCUGUAGUCCCAGCUACUCGGGAGGCUGAGGCAGGAGAAUCGCUUGAACCUGGGAAGCGGGGGUUGCAGUGAGCUGAGAUCGCACCACUGCACUCCAGCCCGGGCAACAGAGUGAGACUCCAUCUCAAAAUAAAUAAAUAAAUAAAUAUACAUAUGUUAAGAUACAGACUAUCUAUUCACACAUAGAACAAGGAGAAUUUCGAUAUAGUCUGACCUGAAUUUUACAUUUGAGAGCACUUUCAGCUUCUGGCAAUUGGGACAUUUCCAAAAUUCCAGAUUCCCUGCUUCUCUGAAAAUAAAUCUGCCCUAAAUCUGCACUGUUCUUUGGUGUCAGACAAUUUGAGCUGAACAACGUCUUUAUCAUUUGGACGUGACCUUCAGAGUAUCAGCUGCACUUUCUGCAGUGUCCUUUAUACUGAGGUUGAAACCAUUGACUACCUAACAUUUCACCCCCCUCUCAUUUUUAUUACCUACCUGACCCCUGAAGGGUUUGCCUUUUCCACCUCUCGGUCAGGGUGGGGACAAAUCAGAAAAUGCUGAGUGCCAGGCUGAGCAGGGUAGACUUUGUCUUUGAGUAAGCUGAGUUUUGAAGGAUGUUAAGAAGGGACUUGACAUAAGGAAGUCAAUGGUAUGUGGGAAAUAGUGAUUGACUGUGUAUAAGGACUUAAGGGGAAGCGUUCUUCUUUUUUUUGAAACGGAUUCUCGGUCUGUCUUCCGGGCUGGUGCGAUCUCAGCUCACUGCACCCUCUGCCUCCCAGGUUCAAACGAUUCUCCUGUCCCAGCCUCCCGAGUAGCUGGGAUUACAGGUGUGAGCCACAGCCCCCGGCCG